GAGGGUAUAGCUCAGUGGCAGAGCACGUGCUUAGCAGGCACAAGGUCCUGGAUUCAGUCCUCAGUAUCUCCA
rnacentral:tRNA from 1 species